CCAGACUCCUACGGGAGGCAGCAGUGGGGAAUCUUAGACAAUGGGCGCAAGCCUGAUCUAGCCAUGCCGCGUGUGUGAUGAAGGCCUUAGGGUCGUAAAGCACUUUCGCCAGGGAUGAUAAUGACAGUACCUGGUAAAGAAACCCCGGCUAACUCCGUGCCAGCAGCCGCGGUAAUACGGAGGGGGUUAGCGUUGUUCGGAAUUACUGGGCGUAAAGCGCACGUAGGCGGAUCAGAAAGUUGGGGGUGAAAUCCCGGGGCUCAACCCCGGAACUGCCUCCAAAACUCCUGGUCUUGAGUUCGAGAGAGGUGAGUGGAAUUCCAAGUGUAGAGGUGAAAUUCGUAGAUAUUUGGAGGAACACCAGUGGCGAAGGCGGC
rnacentral:rRNA from 1 species